UGAGGAAUAUUGGUCAAUGGGCGGAAGCCUGAACCAGCCAUGCCGCGUGCAGGACGACGGCCCUACGGGUUGUAAACUGCUUUUCCGGGGGAAGAAUAACCCCCCUGCGGGGGGGGAUGCCGGUACCCCGGGAAUAAGGAUCGGCUAACUCCGUGCCAGCAGCCGCGGUAAUACGGAGGAUCCUAGCGUUAUCCGGAUUUACUGGGUUUAAAGGGUGCGUAGGCGGGCGUUUAAGUCCGCGGUGAAAGUCUGCGGCUCAACCGUAGGAUUGCCGUGGAUACUGGACGUCUUGGAUUCGGUCGGGGCGGCGGAAUGCGUGGUGUAGCGGUGAAAUGCAUAGAUAUCACGCAGAACGCCGAUAGCGAAGGCAGCUCGCCGGGCCGAAAUCGACGCUGAGGC
rnacentral:rRNA from 1 species